CGUAGGGCGCGAGCGUUGUCCGGAAUUAUUGGGCGUAAAGGGCUUGUAGGCGGUUGGUCGCGUCUGCCGUGAAAUCCUCUGGCUUAACUGGGGCGUGCGGUGGUACGGCUGACUUGAGUGCGGUAGGGAGACUGGAACUCCUGGUGUAGCGGUGGAAUGCGCAGAUAUCAGGAAGACACCGGUGGCGAAGGCGGUCUCUGGGCCGUUACUGACGCUGAGGAGCCGAAAGCGUGGGAGCGAACAGGAUU
rnacentral:rRNA from 1 species